GGGUUGUGAGGUUAAGCGACUAAGCGUACACGGUGGAUGCCCUGGCAGUCAGAGGCGAUGAAGGACGUGCUAAUCUGCGAUAAGCGUCGGUGAGGUGAUAUGAACCGUUAUAACCGGCGAUUUCCGAAUGGGGAAACCCAGUGUGUUUCGACACACUAUCAUUAACUGAAUCCAUAGGUUAAUGAGGCGAACCGGGGGAACUGAAACAUCUAAGUACCCCGAGGAAAAGAAAUCAACCGAGAUUCCCCCAGUAGCGGCGAGCGAACGGGGAGGAGCCCAGAGCCUGAAUCAGUGUGUGUGUUAGUGGAAGCGUCUGGAAAGGCGCGCGAUACAGGGUGACAGCCCCGUACACAAAAAUGCACAUGCUGUGAGCUCGAUGAGUAGGGCGGGACACGUGGUAUCCUGUCUGAAUAUGGGGGGACCAUCCUCCAAGGCUAAAUACUCCUGACUGACCGAUAGUGAACCAGUACCGUGAGGGAAAGGCGAAAAGAACCCCGGCGAGGGGAGUGAAAAAGAACCUGAAACCGUGUACGUACAAGCAGUGGGAGCCUCUUAAUGGGGUGACUGCGUACCUUUUGUAUAAUGGGUCAGCGACUUAUAUUCUGUAGCAAGGUUAACCGAAUAGGGGAGCCGAAGGGAAACCGAGUCUUAACUGGGCGUUAAGUUGCAGGGUAUAGACCCGAAACCCGGUGAUCUAGCCAUGGGCAGGUUGAAGGUUGGGUAACACUAACUGGAGGACCGAACCGACUAAUGUUGAAAAAUUAGCGGAUGACUUGUGGCUGGGGGUGAAAGGCCAAUCAAACCGGGAGAUAGCUGGUUCUCCCCGAAAGCUAUUUAGGUAGCGCCUCGUGAAUUCAUCUCCGGGGGUAGAGCACUGUUUCGGCAAGGGGGUCAUCCCGACUUACCAACCCGAUGCAAACUGCGAAUACCGGAGAAUGUUAUCACGGGAGACACACGGCGGGUGCUAACGUCCGUCGUGAAGAGGGAAACAACCCAGACCGCCAGCUAAGGUCCCAAAGUCAUGGUUAAGUGGGAAACGAUGUGGGAAGGCCCAGACAGCCAGGAUGUUGGCUUAGAAGCAGCCAUCAUUUAAAGAAAGCGUAAUAGCUCACUGGUCGAGUCGGCCUGCGCGGAAGAUGUAACGGGGCUAAACCAUGCACCGAAGCUGCGGCAGCGACGCUUAUGCGUUGUUGGGUAGGGGAGCGUUCUGUAAGCCUGUGAAGGUGUACUGUGAGGUAUGCUGGAGGUAUCAGAAGUGCGAAUGCUGACAUAAGUAACGAUAAAGCGGGUGAAAAGCCCGCUCGCCGGAAGACCAAGGGUUCCUGUCCAACGUUAAUCGGGGCAGGGUGAGUCGACCCCUAAGGCGAGGCCGAAAGGCGUAGUCGAUGGGAAACAGGUUAAUAUUCCUGUACUUGGUGUUACUGCGAAGGGGGGACGGAGAAGGCUAUGUUGGCCGGGCGACGGUUGUCCCGGUUUAAGCGUGUAGGCUGGUUUUCCAGGCAAAUCCGGAAAACCAAGGCUGAGGCGUGAUGACGAGGCACUACGGUGCUGAAGCGACAAAUGCCCUGCUUCCAGGAAAAGCCUCUAAGCAUCAGGUAACAUCAAAUCGUACCCCAAACCGACACAGGUGGUCAGGUAGAGAAUACCAAGGCGCUUGAGAGAACUCGGGUGAAGGAACUAGGCAAAAUGGUGCCGUAACUUCGGGAGAAGGCACGCUGAUAUGUAGGUGAAGCGACUUGCUCGUGGAGCUGAAAUCAGUCGAAGAUACCAGCUGGCUGCAACUGUUUAUUAAAAACACAGCACUGUGCAAACACGAAAGUGGACGUAUACGGUGUGACGCCUGCCCGGUGCCGGAAGGUUAAUUGAUGGGGUUAGCGGUAACGCGAAGCUCUUGAUCGAAGCCCCGGUAAACGGCGGCCGUAACUAUAACGGUCCUAAGGUAGCGAAAUUCCUUGUCGGGUAAGUUCCGACCUGCACGAAUGGCGUAAUGAUGGCCAGGCUGUCUCCACCCGAGACUCAGUGAAAUUGAACUCGCUGUGAAGAUGCAGUGUACCCGCGGCAAGACGGAAAGACCCCGUGAACCUUUACUAUAGCUUGACACUGAACAUUGAGCCUUGAUGUGUAGGAUAGGUGGGAGGCUUUGAAGUGUGGACGCCAGUCUGCAUGGAGCCGACCUUGAAAUACCACCCUUUAAUGUUUGAUGUUCUAACGUUGGCCCGUAAUCCGGGUUGCGGACAGUGUCUGGUGGGUAGUUUGACUGGGGCGGUCUCCUCCUAAAGAGUAACGGAGGAGCACGAAGGUUGGCUAAUCCUGGUCGGACAUCAGGAGGUUAGUGCAAUGGCAUAAGCCAGCUUGACUGCGAGCGUGACGGCGCGAGCAGGUGCGAAAGCAGGUCAUAGUGAUCCGGUGGUUCUGAAUGGAAGGGCCAUCGCUCAACGGAUAAAAGGUACUCCGGGGAUAACAGGCUGAUACCGCCCAAGAGUUCAUAUCGACGGCGGUGUUUGGCACCUCGAUGUCGGCUCAUCACAUCCUGGGGCUGAAGUAGGUCCCAAGGGUAUGGCUGUUCGCCAUUUAAAGUGGUACGCGAGCUGGGUUUAGAACGUCGUGAGACAGUUCGGUCCCUAUCUGCCGUGGGCGCUGGAGAACUGAGGGGGGCUGCUCCUAGUACGAGAGGACCGGAGUGGACGCAUCACUGGUGUUCGGGUUGUCAUGCCAAUGGCACUGCCCGGUAGCUAAAUGCGGAAGAGAUAAGUGCUGAAAGCAUCUAAGCACGAAACUUGCCCCGAGAUGAGUUCUCCCUGAGACUUAGAGUCUCCUGAAGGAACGUUGAAGACGACGACGUUGAUAGGCCGGGUGUGUAAGCGCAGCGAUGCGUUGAGCUAACCGGUACUAAUGAACCGUGAGGCUUAACCUUACAACGCCGAAG
rnacentral:rRNA from 1 species